CCUACGGGAGGCAGCAGUGGGGAAUAUUGCACAAUGGGGGAAACCCUGAUGCAGCGACGCCGCGUGAGUGAAGAAGUAUUUCGGUAUGUAAAGCUCUAUCAGCAGGGAAGAAAAUGACGGUACCUGAUUAAGAAGCCCCGGCUAACUACGUGCCAGCAGCCGCGGUAAUACGUAGGGGGCAAGCGUUAUCCGGAUUUACUGGGUGGAAAGGGAGCGGAGACGGCAGCACAAGUCUGGAGUGAAAUGCCGGGGCUUAACCCCGGAACUGCUUUGGAAACUGUGCAGCUAGAGUGCAGGAGAGGUAAGUGGCCUCCCUAGUGUAGCGGUGAAAUGCGUCGAUAUUAGGAGGAACACCAGUGGCGAAGGCGGCUUACUGGACUGUACCUGACGUUGAGGCUCGAACGCGUGGGGAGCAAACAGGAUUAGAUACCCCGGUAGUC
rnacentral:rRNA from 1 species